AAUGUAUAAUUACGCAAGCUUAUAAUGUAUUUUAUGCAUGUAUAAUAUAAUCCACAUAUUCUGCUCUCUCCCUCCACCACCCCCCUUCUAGUAGGUCUGACUGUUCUGGACUGGACCCUGGUAAGGAUUGCUCCGUUAUUACAUGUAAUGGGAUGAAUAGUGAUAAAAUGAGCCAAUGGUUUUAAAUUUUGAAUAAUAAAAAAAACAAUAAUGAUAAUUAAAAGGUAACUAAUCAAUUACUAAGUGGGUGGGGCUAGUGAAGGUAUGACCACACCCCUAGCCAGUGGGACUAUAGCCACACCCCCAAUAAGAAAAAAAAGGUAUUAGCCACACCUUCUGCUAAUGAGAAGGCCAUUACUGUGUGGCUGUAUACUAGCUGUACUGUAGCAUGAUACUACAGAGGGACUUACAAACACCCUCUACUCUUCAUCUCUCUCCCUUUCCUCCCUCCCUAUCCCUCCUCUUCUCUCUCCUUCAGGUUGCUGGCCCGUCAGUUAAAGUACCUUGAGCGGUUAGACAUUGGUUGCAAUGAGUUUCAGAAUAUAUUAUAUCUCCUGUGGUUGGUGGUCUCCAGUCAUUACUGAGAGGAGCUGUGGAUUGACAUGAAUAGUUUGAUAUCCCUCCCUGAUAGUCUGGCCACCCAGACCCAACCCCUGCGGGUUGAAGAAGUGUUCCUUCAUUGAAGCAUCAAACAAUAGUCUAAUGGACCUACCACACUCCAUUGGUCUCCUAUCAUCACUGACCGACCUCUACCUCCAGAAUAACCUUCUCACCCAACUACCUGUGUCCUUUAGUUAUUUAAAGAGUUUAAAGGUGUGUAAUGUCUCCAGUAACAGGUUCAUGU